UACGUAGGCAGCAAGCGUUGUUCGGAGUUACUGGGCGUAAAGCGCACGUAGGCGGCUUUGUAAGUUAGAGGUGAAAGCCCGGGGCUCAACUCCGGAACUGCCUUUAAGACUGCAUCGCUUGAAUCCAGGAGAGGUGAGUGGAAUUCCGAGUGUAGAGGUGAAAUUCGUAGAUAUUCGGAAGAACACCAGUGGCGAAGGCGGCUCACUGGACUGGUAUUGACGCUGAGGUGCGAAAGCGUGGGGAGCAAACAGG
rnacentral:rRNA from 1 species